CUAUCAUGCAAGUAGAACGCACAGGAUGCACCGUAGUUUACUACACCGUAUUCUGUGAGUUGCGAACGGGUGAGUAACGCGUAGGUAACCUGCCUGGUAGCGGGGGAUAACUAUUGGAAACGAUAGCUAAUACCGCAUAAGAACAUUUACUGCAUGGUAGAUGUUUAAAAGGUGCAAGAGCAUCACUACCAGAUGGACCUGCGUUGUAUUAGCUAGUUGGUGGGGUAACGGCUCACCAAGGCAACGAUACAUAGCCGACCUGAGAGGGUGAUCGGCCACACUGGGACUGAGACACGGCCCAGACUCCUACGGGAGGCAGCAGUAGGGAAUCUUCGGCAAUGGGGGGAACCCUGACCGAGCAACGCCGCGUGAGUGAAGAAGGUUUUCGGAUCGUAAAGCUCUGUUGUUAAGGAAGAACGUGUGUGAGAGUGGAAAGUUCACACAAUGACGGUACUUAACCAGAAAGGGACGGCUAACUACGUGCCAGCAGCCGCGGUAAUACGUAGGUCCCGAGCGUUGUCCGGAUUUAUUGGGCGUAAAGCGAGCGCAGGCGGUUAGAUAAGUCUGAAGUGAAAGGCAGUGGCUCAACCAUUGUAGGCUUUGGAAACUGUUUAACUUGAGUGCAGAAGGGGAGAGUGGAAUUCCAUGUGUAGCGGUGAAAUACGUAGAUGUAUGGAGGAACACCGGUGGCGAAAGCGGCUCUCUGGUCUGUAACUGACGCUGAGGCUCGAAAGCGUGGGGAGCGAACAGGAUUAGAUACCCUGGUAGUCCACGCCGUAAACGAUGAGUGCUAGGUGUUAGGUCCUUUCCGGGACUUAGUGCCGCAGCUAACGCAUUAAGCACUCCGCCUGGGGAGUACGACCGCAAGGUUGAAACUCAAAGGAAUUGACGGGGGCCCGCACAAGCGGUGGAGCAUGUGGUUUAAUUCGAAGCAACGCGAAGAACCUUACCAGGUCUUGACAU
rnacentral:rRNA from 1 species